rnacentral:tRNA from 1 species
GGGCGGGUGGCGGAAUGGUAGACGCGUUGGUCUCAAAAACCAAUGGGCACAUGCCCGUGAGGGUUCGACUCCCUCUCCGCCCA